rnacentral:rRNA from 1 species
GAUGAACGCUGGCGGCGUGCCUAAUACAUGCAAGUCGAGCGAAUGGAUUAAGAGCUUGCUCUUAUGAAGUUAGCGGCGGACGGGUGAGUAACACGUGGGUAACCUGCCCAUAAGACUGGGAUAACUCCGGGAAACCGGGGCUAAUACCGGAUAACAUUUUGAACCGCAUGGUUCGAAAUUGAAAGGCGGCUUCGGCUCUCACUUAUGGAUGGACACGCGUCGCAUUAGCUAGUUGGUGAGGGAACGGCUCACCAAGGCAACGAUGCGUAGCCGACCUGAGAGGGAGAUCGGCCACACUGGGACUGAGACACGGCCCAGACUCCUACGGGAGGCAGCAGUAGGGAAUCUUCCGCAAUGGACGAAAGUCUGACGGAGCAACGCCGCGUGAGUGAUGAAGGCUUUCGGGUCGUAAAACUCUGUUGUUAGGGAAGAACAAGUGCUAGUUGAAUAAGCUGGCACCUUGACGGUACCUAACCAGAAAGCCACGGCUAACUACGUGCCAGCAGCCGCCGUAA